rnacentral:rRNA from 1 species
CCUACGGGAGGCAGCAGUAGGGAAUCUUUCACAAUGGGCGAAAGCCUGAUGGAGCAACGCCGCGUGCAGGAUGAAGGCUUUCGGGUUGUAAACUGCUUUUAUAAGCGAGAAAUAUGAUGGUAACUUAUGAAUAAGGAUCGGCUAACUACGUGCCAGCAGCCGCGGUCAUACGUAGGAUCCGAGCAUUAUCCGGAGUGACUGGGUGUAAAGAGUUGCGUAGGUGGCAUAAUAAGUAGCUAGUGAAAUCUGGUGGCUCAAACAUUCAGACUAUUAGCGAAACUGUUAAGCUCGAGACCGUUAGGGGUAACUGGAAUUUCUAGUGUAGGAGUGAAAUCCGUAGAUAUUAGAAGGAACACCAAUGGCGUAGGCAGGUUGCUGGGACGGUUCUGACACUAAGGCACGAAAGCGUAGGGAGCAAACGGGAUUAGAUACCCGAGUAGUC